GCCCGGGUGGCGAAACUGGUAGACGCAAGGGACUUAAAAUCCCUCAGCUGAAAGGCUAUGCGGGUUCGAUUCCCGCCCCGGGCAC
rnacentral:tRNA from 1 species